ACGAACGCUGGCGGCGUGCUUAACACAUGCAAGUCGAACGGGCCCGCUCUCUUUUUUGGGGGUGGGUUGAGUGGCGAACGGGUGAGUAUCACGUGAGUAACCUGCCCCCUGCUCCUGGAUAACUGCUUGAAAGGGCGGCUAAUACGGGGUGUGCCGGCUGGUCCGCAUGGGCCUGGUCGGGAUAGUUUCAUCUUCGGGCGUUUCGGUGGGGGAUGGGCUCGCGGCCUAUCAGCUUGUUGGUGGGGUGAUGGCCCACCAAGGCGGUGACGGGUAGCCGGCCUGAGAGGGUGGGCGGCCACACUGGGACUGAGACACGGCCCAGACUCCUGCGGGAGGCAGCAGUGGGGGGUAUUGCACAAUGGGCGGAAGCCUGAUGCAGCGACGUCGCGUGAGGGAUGGAGGCCUUCGGGUUGUGAACCUCUUUCUCCGGUGGUGAAGGCCCUGUCCGUUGCGGCGGGGUUGACGGUAGCCGGGUAUGAAGCGCCGGCUAACUACGUG
rnacentral:rRNA from 1 species